CUUGAGCGACCCGAGCCACAACGGCCGCUCAGCGGGGCGUUCCUGACCGUACGUCGCCAGCAGCGCGUCGACUUC
rnacentral:antisense_RNA from 1 species